rnacentral:misc_RNA from 1 species
AACACAAUUAAAGCAUGAAAAUUAAUUCAUACCUUGACAAUAAGAAAAUAAAAAUAAAAGUUUAACAGAUGAACCUCAUUAUGUAUGUUGAAGGGCUCAAAAAUGGAUUUUUCCUAACACCACAAAUGAGGCAAUCAACCAACUCAUAAGAUACCCUAUGCUCAACUUGAUAAAAGCUCAUUGCAUCUCAUUCUUUAUAUUUAGCAAAGCCAAGUUUAGGCUUACAAAAAAGGUUACUUUACUAAAUGAGUCAAGUCUGAAGAGUUCAGAGGGCGUUUGACCUAAUUUAUGAAAAUCAACUUUUAAACACUAUAUGCUUAUAAGUUAAUUUGAACUUAUAAAUAUUUAAAAUUUUGA